CGUGCACAUUGUUAGAGCUUGGAGCUGAGGCCACUGCCUGGCCGAUGAGCUCUCAAGUGUAGGUAGUGUGCUACACGAUGGGCAAGUUUUUGCUAACACCACAAGGGUCUCUGGCCCAAUGAGUGGAGUUUGACAGUAAUCCUUGCCACAGGU
rnacentral:snoRNA from 1 species